UGUUAAAGUUCUUAUUUCAUGGUAUAACUUUGGUAUGCUUGGACCUAGAGUCUUCAAACUUGACAUAAAGGUUGGCCAGGAUUAACAGAUGACCACUGGUCAUUUCAAGGUCAUUCAUUUGAAGGUCAAGGUCACUGUGACCUUCAAUAUAAAAAAUGUUAAAGUUGUUAUAACUUUGGUAUGCUUGGACCUAGAGUCUUGAAACUUGACAUGAAGGUUGGCCAUAACUAGUUAGUAACCACUGGUCAAUUCAAGGUCAUUCAUUUGAAGGUCAAGGUCACUGUGACCUUGAAUGUAAAAAUGUUAAAGUUCUUAUUUCAUGGUAUAACUUUGGUAUGCUUGGACCUAGAGUCUUCAAACUUGACAUGAAGGUUGGCCAGGAUUAACAGAUGACCACUGGUCAUUUCAAGGUCAUUCAUUUGAAGGUGAAGGUCACUGUGACCUUCAAUAUAAAAAUGUUAAAGUUGUUAUAACUUUGGUAUGCUUGGACCUAGAGUCUUGAAACUUGACAUGAAGGUUGGCCAGAACUAGUAAGUAACCACUGGACAUUUCAAGGUCAUUCAUUUGAAGGUCAAGGUCACUGUGACCUUGAAUGUAAAAAUGUUAAAGUUGUUAUAACUUUGGUAUGCUUGGACCUAGAGUCUUGAAACUUGACAUGAAGGUUGGCCAGAACUAGUAAGUAACCACUGGACAUUUCAAGGUCAUUCAUUUGAAGGUCAAGGUCACUGUGACCUUGAAUGUAAAAAUGUUAAAGUUCUUAUUUCAUGUUAUAACUUUGGUAUGCUUGUACCUAGAGUCUUCAAACUUGAAAUAAAGAUUGGCCAGUACUAGAAGAUGACCACUGGUCAUUUCAAUGUCAUUCAUUUGAAGGUCAAGGUCACUGUGACCUUAAAUGUUAAAAUGUUAAAAUUGUUAUAACUUUGGUAUGCUUGGACAUAGAGUCUUCAAACUUGACAUGAAGGUUUGCAAGCACACUUAGAUGACCACUGGUCAUUUCAAGGUCAUUCAUUCUAAGGUCAAGGUCACUGUGACCUUGAAUGUAAAAAUGUUAAAGUUCUUAUAACUUUGGUAGGUAAAAAUGUUAAAGUUCUUAUUCCAUGUUAUAACUUUGGUAUGCUUGUACCUAGAGUCUUCAAACUUGACAUAAAGGUUGGCCAGUACUAGAAGAUCACCACUGCUCAUUUCAAUGUCAUUCAUUUGAAGGUCAAGGUCACUGUGACCUUCAAUGUUAAAAUACUAUCAUUCAAGCUUGGAUCAUAUUUAUGUGUCCAAUCUAUCUGCUAGAACUGGUGUGAUAGAAACCUUUUGGAGUGAUCAUAAGGCUGUCUGGAUUUCUGUGUAGGUAUGUGAAAGCAAAACAAUAAAUAGUAUUAUUUCAUCUAAGUUUAUUUUCUUACAUUUGAUAAUGAAAUUGAUGGAAACUUCAAACAAUAUGUUACUAAUUUGCUAAUAAAAAAAUUGAGAUCAAACUUUCCUAAUUGUCAAUUCAAGUUCAUAUUUGUGACCUUAAAUGUUAUUGUUGUUCAUGUAUAUGCAUGCAUUCAAAACAUAACACAAGGUUUGCUCAUGCCUUGAAAAGUACUUACAUUUCAUUUUGACCUUUGAACAAUAUUUCAGUAAUUUAAGUAUUGCAUUGACAAAAACACGAAAGGUACUUUCCUGUCAUUUAAAUCAAAAAUCCGGCUUCAAUGCGGUCAUCUCCGACCGCGGAACUCUUGUUUUAAU